rnacentral:rRNA from 1 species
AUGGCGCGGUCCAGGCCUAGGUUCUGGCUCGUGGCGGGCUGCGUCGCCCUGCUGCUCUGGGCCUCCGUCGCGCAGCUCGUCGCCGUCGGCCGCCUCCUCUCCCUCUUCGGCCUCGCCGGCAGCGCGCCCGGCCCCUCGCCGCCGCCUUCCUCGCCCCCUCCCCCGCCGCCGCCCCCAAGAAUCUACAAAAGCAAUGGCUAUCUGAAGAUAUCCUGCAAUGGGGGUCUUAAUCAGAUGCGUUCAGAGAUAUGUGACAUGGUGGCAGUGGCGCGUUUGCUAAACCUCACGAUGGUUGUGCCAGAGCUUGACAAGAGAUCAUUCUGGGCUGAUCAGAGCAAUUUUGGAGACAUAUUUGAUGUGAGGCAUUUCAUUACCUCAUUAAGAGAUGAAGUGCGCAUUGUCAAACGGCUGCCAAAGAGGUUUGGUCCAACAGAUUCAGGCAUCAUGCUGGACAUGUCACCUGUGAGCUGGUCAGAUGAGAAAUACUACUUGCACCAGAUCUUACCACUCUUCAGCAAAUAUAAAGUCAUCCACUUUAACAAGACAGAUGCUCGGUUAGCAAACAAUGGCAUCAGUACUGAGCUUCAACUUGUUAGAUGCCGUGUUAAUUUUCGUGCUCUGAAGUUUACCCCUCAAAUUGAGGCACUGGGGAAUAAAUUGGUACAGAAACUUCGAGACAAGGGAUCAUUUGUGGCAUUGCAUUUACGAUAUGAGAUGGACAUGCUCGCAUUUUCUGGUUGCAAUCAUGGCCUUAAUCCUGAAGAAGCCGAGGAACUCAAAAGAAUGAGAUAUGCAUAUCCAUGGUGGAGAGAUAAAGAAAUUGAUUCGAAAACCAAGAGAUCAGAAGGACUAUGCCCACUUACGCCUGAGGAGACGUCACUGGUUUUGAAAGCACUGGGCUUUGAAAAGGAUACUCUCAUAUACAUUGCUGCUGGUGAAAUUUACGGGGGAGAAAAGAGAUUGAAACCAUUACGAGCUGCUUUUCCAAAACUUGUAAGAAAAGAGAUGCUGCUAGAUUCAGAACCUCUGCGCCAGUUUCAAAACCAUUCUUCUCAGAUGGCUGCACUCGAUUUCAUUGUAUCCACUGCUAGUGAUGUGUUCCUUCCUACCUAUGAUGGUAACAUGGCGAAACUUGUUGAAGGCCACAGAAGGUUCCUGGGUUUCCGAAAAAGCGUGUUGCCAGACCGACGGAAACUAGUUGAACUUAUAGACUUGUACAACAACAAGACAAUUUCUUGGGAGAAUUUUACAUCUUCUGUCCAAGAAGUUCAUAGAGGCCGUGUGGUCCAACCGUCCUGUCGGCGAAAACUCGAAAACAAGCCGAAAGAGGAGGAUUAUUUCUACGCUAACCCCCACGAGUGCCUGGCCAAUUCAAGCCUGUGCAGUGGAAGCAAGGAUACAGUCACUGUAAGGUGA